rnacentral:tRNA from 1 species
AGGAUAAAAGUUAAAACUUAACAUUUAAGUUGCAUUUAAAAAAUAUUGAUAACUCAAUUUAUCUUA